rnacentral:rRNA from 1 species
GACGAACCGUGCGAACGUUGUUCGGAAUAACUGGGCUUAAAGGGCGCGUAGGCGGGGUGGACAGUCCAUGGUGAAAUCCUCCGGCUCAACCGGAGAACUGCCGUGGAUACUGCCACUCUCGAGGGGUGUAGGGGCAUGUGGAACUCAGGGUGGAGCGGUGAAAUGCGUAGAUAUCCUGAGGAACGCCGGUGGCGAAAGCGGCGUGCUGGACACCUUCUGACGCUGAGGCGCGAAAGCCAGGGGAGCAAACGGG